AUUUGAAUCACCAGGAGAUCUUGCUAAAUUCAGAUUGCUGAUCCAGUAGGCUUGGGGUAGAGCCUGAGCUUUUGCAUUUCUAGCAAGCUCCCAGGUGCUGCUGAU
rnacentral:pre_miRNA from 1 species